rnacentral:rRNA from 1 species
GGUUGAUCCUGCCAGUAGUCAUAUGCUUGUCUCAAAGAUUAAGCCAUGCAUGUCUAAGUAUAAACAUUUUAUACGGUGAAACUGCGAAUGGCUCAUUAAAUCAGUUAUAGUUUAUUUGAUAGUACCUUACUACUUGGAUAACCGUGGUAAUUCUAGAGCUAAUACAUGCUAAAAAACCCGACUUCUCGGAAGGGUUGUAUUUAUUAGAUAAAAAACCAAUCUGCGCAAGCAGUUUUAGGUGAUUCAUAAUAACUUUUCGAAUCGUAUGACUUUACGUCGACGAUGGUUCAUU